rnacentral:rRNA from 1 species
CCUACGGGUGGCAGCAGUGGGGAAUAUUGCACAAUGGGGGAAACCCUGAUGCAGCAACGCCGCGUGAGUGAAGAAGUAUUUCGGUAUGUAAAGCUCUAUCAGCAGGGAAGAAGAAAGACGGUACCUGACUAAGAAGCCCCUGCUAACUACGUGCCAGCAGCCUCGGUCAUACGUAGGGGGCAAGCGUUAUCCGGAUUUACUGGGUGUAAAGGGAGCGUAGACGGCAGUGCAAGGCUGGAGUGAAAGGCGGGGGCUCAACCCCCGGACUGCUCUGGAAACUGUACGGCUGGAGUGCAGGAGAGGUAAGUGGAAUUCCUAGUGUAGCGGUGAAAUGCGUAGAGAUUAGGAGGAACACCAGUGGCGAAGGCGGCUUACUGGACUGUAACUGACGUUGAGGCUCGAAAGCGUGGGGAGCAAACAGGAUUAGAUACCCUGGUAGUC